UUUGCCGCGUUUUUCUUUAAGAAAAAGAUCAAUUUUCUUAGAAAUCUCCUUUCUAAAGAUAAUCUUUUUAAAAAGGUAACAGGUAAAUGAAUUUGCUGAAACCCAAACUCAUCUCUUAUAAGAUAAAAUACGGAAAUUGGCUACAUUCACCUGGUGCAAAGGGAACAUUUGAUAGUUUAGACUUAUCUUCUUUGCUUCCUUUAUCUUGUAUUCAUGAGUCAUCAUAACCCAAACAUUAAAAUAUAACCCAAAUUGGACUGUCAUAUAGUUUUUUGCCUCUUUCUGCUUCAAGACUCAAAUAAAGCUGCUUUAAAUACUUUAAAAGACACACUUGGAAAUAGAGUGCUCUGGAGAGGAGUGUGCCGAGGUCAUCUAGACAGCCCAUGUAACGUGGGAAGGAAAGCCUUUUUUUUGGCCACAACCAAGGUAUUAUUGGAGAAAGGAGGCAUGGGGCAGAAAAUCACAACUGGAUGUGGGAACAAAACACCUCAAUUUUAGUCUUUACUCUGCUUCCAACUGGAUAGGUGAUAUUGGAGGAAAUAAUUUAGCUCUUAAUUUUAUUUUUCUUACCUAACAUUCAUGGAGCAUAAUACAGUUUAAUUUCAUUACUCAUAGAAGUUAUGUUCUCUAAUGUUGCUGCAAAAACUCAAAUGAUAAGUACAUAUUGAAACCUUACUUGUAGGGGAAAUACUUAGAGGGUUCCUGGGAGCCUCUUGUCACAUUUUUGUCGACCAAUCAAUAUGUAAGCUUGCUUUACACAUGUGUCUGUUUAAAGGCACCAUAUUUAAUAUAUGGUUGACUCAUCAACAUUGAACUCAUGUCUGAACAGAGCUUAUCUAACACACGUAUGUUUCUCCAUGAGGCACAGCACAGUCUUCUUGCACUUAUAACAUGAGACAGCACCUCAGCACCACACAUAGGGGCUAUUUUAAACAGUGAAAUCACCAAUGAAAAUCACAAAAAUGGGAAAAACAACACUAAACAGUGCAAAGGGUUGUUGUUUCCAACCCAAGAGCUGGAACAAGAAGGCAAAACUUCACCCUGUUGAACCUCAACGGGAAUGUGCAUAUCUAGUGACUUAAAUUUUUUCCAUUCUGUGCAUGUCCCUGAAUAACCACGAAAGUGCUGCAAGUAUUGAUUUUAGGGUUAUGAAUAAAUUUUAGCAACUACACAAAUUCGCAACUCUAGGGUCUGCCAAUAACAGAGGAGAUCAUGCAUACUGUUUAUUAUUGUUUAGCAUGAAUGUUAUCUGCAGCCAGAGGCUAAGAAAGCUAACAUUCAUUAGGGAAAAAAAGAAUUAUUAAUACUUACAUACCUCAUUCACUGGGCCUCACACACUGUAAAUAGAUUAGGAAACCAGAGAGCCUAACAGAGCUGCUUGUUUACCCUAAAAAAUAUAUGUUAUCAUGUGAAGAUACAUUCACAUUGGAGAGCCUUAACUGUUACAAACAGUAACUCCAUUGUUCGAUUUCUUUAAGGUGGGUGAGGCUUGUUGGAACCUGAUUGCUUUUGUGCACCUUUGCAGGCGCCUUGUAGGAGCUUUUUAAACUGAGUGGCCAUUCAUCACUUCCCUCCUUGGCCCAGGAUGUAGUUUUCCCAUCUCAAAUGUGCUCUAUAAGCAUUUGCGCUCAUCAGUUUAUUUGUUGAUUCCUUUCCAUACAGAUAGAUAUUUUUCACAUAAAAAUUUGAUUUCACUUACUUUAAUUUCUGUGGUGUAAGUUUCAUUUUCUAAAAUAUAAUGCGGAUACUGUUUCAGCCACAGUGCUAAUGCUAUUAAAUAAAGGAAGCUCUACAUACACCCCGCAUUGCACUUUGAGGUGAAAUUACCAGUUGCUGUACUGUGUUCAUGAGGAUCCAGUGCUUCAAGGAAGGAUGCCAUUCCACUCCCCAUUGCCCUCCAUCCUACCCCUUAAUGCAAGGCACACCCUUCUCAGCCCACAUUUCUGUGAUUCCUUCCCUGCCAAAGUACAAAUUGAUUUGACUGGCAAGAACCUACACAUCUCCUUUCUGUUUUAAUUUCCAUUUUUAAAAUCUAUUUUUAAUGUCUUCAUUUUUGAGCCAUUUGUUUAAAAAAAAACCUGUGGUUUUGUUACAACAAAGAAAGAUAAACACCUUGAUAAGCAGAUGAAUGACUUCAACUUCCAUUAACAUCUGUUAAACAUCUACCACAUAUCAAGGCUGUAUUUGUUAAUUAUUUCCAUUUCUGCUGUGUAAUGCAAUCCUAUGUAAGGCAGGGACCAUCCAGAAUGGUGGUAGGCAUAAACAUACUGCUGGGGCCCACCCACAAUCUCAAUGUUCCUCUCUCAGAGCUCAGUGCCUGAUGACUUACACUGCCUCCCUUCUCUCCAGACUCACCGUAAGGAAGCUUUCUGCUCCAGGCUAUCCUGUGACUGCUCCCUAUCAAAAUUUCCCUAGUGCCCCAUGCCUGCUCGACUACUCUUUGAAAAUACUCUGAUAUUCUCAGUGAAAUGUCUUAUUUCUCUGAGACACUUGCCUUUUAUCUAAAGUUGCUUGUGUGAAUGAAUCCUUAAUGUAAGAGAACUAGGUCUAGGUCUAUCUUCACCAGUGGGAAGAUUUCAACCAAGUAGCAUUUGAGGGGAAGUAUUUGUAAAGUGUGGGAGCCCUCCUUACUCUCAAAUCAUGUCAGAUAAGUGACAGUCUAUUAUGUGUACAUAUCCAAUGGGUCCUGGAAAGGCACCAAAUAAUGUCUUCACUGCAGAACGUUCUGACUGUAAUACAGUCCUAACUGCAGAGAAGUUAUGAGGCAUGUUAGGAGGAAGCUGUAUAUUUAAUCCAGAAAAUGGUAUCACAGCUACCAAAAUUUCUUGAAGUAGUUAUAAUUACCAAUAAGGCAGCUUUAAGAUCUCUUUAUUUGAUGAACUCUUUGGAGUAACUCAGUUUUAAUUAGGAUUUAAAGAAAAACUCUUGGCUUGGAGCAUGUGACAUGAAUACCUGUGAUGUGCCACUUUCCAGUCAUUUCAUUUGGAAACUGAGAUGGAGCAGUACUAACAGGUGGGGCCUUGCCACCCUGUCAGGCCCCCUUUGCCCACUUGUAUUCGUCUGUCUGCCCCACUCUCUAAGGGGAGGAAGAAUAGUGCCACAGGCACCAAGGAAAGCUCUAAGCAUAAGCUGGGGAGCUGCUCUUCUCCAGGCACUGCAGGAGUUCAUGGGCCCUUAUCCGGAGGACAGCAAGACAAGAGGGGCCAAGGAGCAGCAUGGGGACGACACAGAUGAGAGAGGUCCAGUCCCAGAAGGGUCUGGGGCUCUCUAGAGUGGGUAUGAACAAGUCAAUGUAAUAAAAGUUGCAGGGCUCCAAGUCUGUAAGUUCUUUCGAACAUUUGAGAGGAGCAGUGUAGGACGUGAACCACAGUCUGGGCCCACGUAUCUCUAAAUGUGACGUUACUCUGCAACUGGAGACCUGGGAGUCGCGAUUUAUGCGGUUGGUCAUAUCUUCUAGUGUGCUCACUGGGAAGGAACUGUAACUACUUCCUCAGAUGUCCAUCUGGGCACUCCACUUUUGACAGAAGGAAGAACCAACACAUUUCAAAGCCAAACUGAUGCUUCUGAUUUUGCCACUCAGCACUGUUAUGGAGUAAGAAGCCUAAUUUCUGCUUCAAAUCAGUAAGAAUUCAUUACAUGAAUGUUUAUUAAUUGUCUUCUAUAGCCCAGGCACUAUAGGACAAUGGGUAUGACUAAGAAUACCCUUCGCCCUUUUUCAUAACAUAGACCUGAGCAGCUACAGAGGCUGUUGGCCAUCCAGCAUAUGGCUAUGAGGGAAUUUGGGCUGCAGCAAGACUUCAGAGGAAUGGCCAAAGUUUGGCUAAAUCUGAGCUUGUAGCAAUGCCCAGGGAAGCACUUUGUUGAAAGAAAUGCAGUAAUUCCUUAUGUAGUAUGAAGUUUGUAAAUAAAGGCCAUUUACUGAUUAUUUCCUUUGAAGAAUAUUUAUAAUACAGCUUUUUGUUUGAGGCUAAGUUUACAUGAGCAAGAAAAAAAGUGCAGAUAUGUUUUUCUUUAAAUCUUAAAAAAGAAAAUCUUUCCCCUGCUAAGAUUAUUGGGGAUUUCCUCUCAUUCUUGGCAGAUGUUUACAAAAAUGAGUUAACACCCUCAGAUGUGGACACUUCCUACUCCACCCUGACUCUAUUCCAGCAAAAUCCAUUCUUCUUUUUCAAAAAAGCAUAAUUUUUUUUCUUCUCAAUGACAUAGAUCUGCUUUUUUAUCUGUUCUGAGCUAUGCCUUGAGAUUUUAAGAUCCUAGAGUUUCUCAAUCUUUUUUCAAAUGCAUAGUUUUGGCACAAGAUGCUAUUGUGAAUACAGCCUUUAUUAUAUAUGUGAUUGGUGGAAGAUUUUUUUCAAGUUCGUAACAAAAACCAGAGUCAAGGACCUGCUGCUGGCCAUGUUUAUUUGGUGUACCCACCUCCUUAAUAUUGGCUCUUGCUCUCUCUGCAUGGGGGAGCCUGGGGCAUGUGAUGUGGGACCGAUUGGUAGACAGGAGGAUUCCAGUUCUGGCAAUGCCACUGGUUAGCUCUAGAGCCCUGUAUUAGUCACCUAACUUCACUUGGCCUUAGUUAAGUCAGCUUUAAAAUGAAGACCUCUACAGUCUCUAAAUCCCUUUCUGUCUCUAAACUUCAGGGCAGUGCACUCUAAGCAGGAACGCACUGGGAAUUGCCUUUGUGGCUCUCGCGACGGCAUGUGUGGGCAGCUUGGCUCUCCCUUGGGUCUGCAGCUUGCGUCGUGGUUGGCAUCGCUUAGACCAUGUCUGUCCCUCCCCGUCCUUUGUGUCAAACAGUGAAUCCACGUAAGAUGAGACAACGGGGACCCUACUGGUGAACUGAGCAAAAAACAGACUUUUCCUCCUGUGAGUUGGAAAAGGCUCAGUAAGCCCCAAAGGGAAUUACGCAUGAAGCCCACAUCUGCAGGAGAAACAUACAUUGAAAAGAUAAUCUGUAUGUCUUUUAUGACAGCACAUUAAUCUGCAAUGGGUCAUUCAAGAUGUUUUUCUUAACAGGAUUCUGAGAUUCAAAGCUGCAUAGUAUACUAAUAGUAUGAUAGGCUGGACGUAUCUUCAGUUAUAUCCAGGAUCUGGGUCAGGUAUGGCCAGGUUGUUCUAUUAGAACUGCUGGAGCUCCCCCAUGGCAGUUCUUGCCUGGUUUCUCCAACACAACAAAGCCCUGUUUUGGUGCUGUCCCCAAAUAUCCAAUAGAUAGCCCCUUCCAAAUUUCAUUCAUUGUAACUUAUUUCAAAAAGCUAUGUGACUACUCACCUAGAUACCUACAGUUUUUUUUUCAUUUGUUUGAGUGUAUAUUUUUAUGAAGACCAAACUAAACUGAAAACUACUGGCUAAUUGCAGGUUAAAAACUUACCUUUCCUAAAGUGUGCAUUGCUACAUUUUUAUCCCUAGACUAAUAUAAUAAAAUUUAAAUAUCAAGCUAGUUGUAAUCACUCUACAUUACUGAACUGUUUUUGCAUAUAUUGAAAUCAGAAAAUUGCACAAAUGUAGGUACAUGGCAAUGUACCAUAAUGUACCAUAAAACUGAAUUAAUUUUAUUGUAAAUUCAUAGGAUAAAUUGUCCUUUGUCAUAUUGCUACUCCAAAAGAUUAAGAAGCCCAACAUACCUGAAGCAGCAUCAAUCUCAAAUAAUGUUUGAUUUAUCAAAAUUCUAAUACAACAACAAUGUGACCUAUCCUUUGGAAAUGAUGGGAAUCAAAUGGGCUUUACCUUUACUGGUCAUAGAGUUCAGAGGCAAAAGCCCAGAGGAUAUAUAGUUCAAACCCUUCCUUUCACAAAUGAGAAAAUUGAGAUCAUAUUAUAUUAUCAUAGGUUUAAUUAAGACACUGUAUUUAACAGAUCAUUCCAACUUUCCAUAUGCAAUCCAACCUUGUGAUAAUGAAAAAUCUGUUUAAAUUGUUGUUGUUUAAUUAUUUCACUUUAUAACAGAGGUCAGCAAACUCUUUCAGUAAAAGACCAAAUAGUGAAUACUUUAGGCUAUUUGUCAAAUUCAACUCUGUUUUCAACAAAACAGGUGGCCCACUGGCUUUGUCCAUGGGCUGCAGUUUGCUCUUUAGAGCACAGAAUUGAGAGAGAGCAUUGCCUCACUUGCUUCACUUCACCAGGGAGAAGUUGGCAAAAGCUUCACUGAUGGAUAAAAGUCUUAACACAGUGUUUUAGAUGAUCAAGUUAGAGAGCCUGGGUUUACUGAUAGUAGAUCUCUUGCCUGGGCUCAGAGUCCACACAUGAAGUCAUGAUGCUCUAUUUGCCACAUCACAGCUGUUCUAUGAUGGCAACAAUUAGUGUUUUGAGUUUCAAUGUGACCACUUAAGGUUGGAGAACAGAAGCGAUCUCAGGAUUAUGAAGCUUUUAUGUAGCUCUUUUAGGAUUAAAUGAGGAGGAAAACUAAGCUAGUCACAAAACUAGACUUGGUUCAUGGACAUUUUCUUGGUCCAUCUUUUAGCCUUGGAUGAAGUCCUCUCUUAACCCAGGGACAUGAUAGAUGCAUGCAUUCAUGCAUUUCAGACAACUCUAUGAUAAAAGCAUUUAUCAUUUGUAAAAAUGAUUUGGAAUACAAAAUUGAGCAUGUUGAGGACAGGGGCUUUAUUUAUUCCCAGCUACGGUGUUUUGACAGUCACUUCACCAAUCUGGGCCUCUGCUGACCAUCUGUUAGACCCCUAAGGCUCUUCUACUCCUAACAUACCAUGAGUCUAUUUCCCAGAGACCCCAGAAUAAGGCCUGACACACAAAAGUUACUCAAUAAAUUAGAAAAAAAAAGAAUGAUACAUAAACUUAUUCUGUUCCUCACUAAAACCCGUUCUUCUGAUGGUGAAGUGAAUGCUUCCUCUGCUGUUUUGUUUUACUUCAUUCGGAGAAUAAGGGGCUUACCAUGUUGUCAUCUCAUUACUAUAGUGACUUUACUAGGCUGUACUUUGGCCCAGCAAUAACUGGACAAUUAGAAGUGCAUUUGCUAAAACUAUAGAUUUGUAUUUCUUUCAUGAGCCCUGCUAUUUAAAUAAAUUAGAGCACUUAAUGGUUUGAACUUCCUAUAAUUUUGUCACAACAGCCAUUAGGGUUUCUGAAUUUUCUCAGGCUUUGAAGCAGGAAAGAUUGGUGGAACUUAAGAAAGAUGGGACUUGAAACAAGUGAGGAUCAUGGACCACUAAUGUGGAUUUACCUUAGACUCAUGAUUCUGCCAGUUCAGAUGUCCAAGACUUAGCUUUAAAUUCAUACUGGAAAGGGUUGGUUUAUGUAUGGAAGAGAAAGAGGGCACAGGAAACAAGCUUCAAAUGGCCAGUAAGAAGCCUCCACCCCAAGUUUCUCUUAUCACUGUACCUACACUAUUAGAAUUAGAUAAUGCAGUUUGGUUUCCCUUACUGAUGUAAUAUUUACCAUGAGAUAAGAACUGCCUUAAUUCUUUAUCAGUUUUUCCACUUUAAUAGAAAUAACUCUUCAGAUCUUUUUUAGUGUGAUAAUUAGCCAACCAGAGCUUUAAAGACAGGAGGCUGGUGCAACCACUGAGGGCAGAGAGGCCUGCAGAAACCAGAAGUUGGGGUCAAUGUGCUGACUGGAGAACCUGGUUGAACUCCUGGAGGUACAUCUCACAAAAUGUGGGGGCCCUCAUGACUUGGUCCCUUGGAGGCUUGAACUCUCAAAGUUGUCCACACUGAUCUCCAGCAACUGUCAGUUCCUGCUUGUGAGACCCUGGAGAAUUGAAACCAUCAAGACAAGAGGCAGAGACCGGCUUGCUGCAUGCAGACUUGCUCUGAGUGAGCAGGCUUUUAGUGACUGACCUGCCACCUGGAAAUAAAGUUGGGUAUAACCCUUUCACCCCAAGAACAUUCUACUGUCAUUUCUCUGGUCACAUUGAAUCCAUAGUGAACUUCCCUGGGGCCAAAACCCAAUGACAAGACACAUAGUCAUCAGGGAGAAGAUGAAAAUAACUUGGCCAGAGGAAUGGGAAACCACUUGAGAUUAGUGACCAUGAAUUUACAGUGAUGCCAGCUACCUGCUGUGUGGGAUUCUCUAGCAGAGUUUGCUACUUGGAGGCAGAUGCCAUGAGAGCAGAUUGUUGAGUUCAUCCAGGGUCGAGAUAUUAGCAAAAGGAUGAGAUUGGGGGAAAAGAAAAGGUGUUCUAAGCAAUUUGGAGUUAUGCCAAGAAUAUUACUGCAGUAUUGGGAAUCUACUGAUAUACUAUAAAAGUCUGCUAGUUUGGGAGAAAGUAAAGGAGUCUGUGAAGACAAUUUUCCAAUGAUGUCUAAGAAUGGCUAUAGAGGAAUGUCUUAAGCAGAAAGUUCUUAGUCAAUGUUUAAAUUUUUGCAAAAAUACAAUUUGACCUUUUGCAGCAUAAGACUAACUGGAUCAAUGUCUGGAUGCGCUCAUGACUUGCCAUACCACUAUUUGUAAAUUAGGCUCAGUUUUCUCCCUCAUGUCACAUUUUAUGCUCACCUUGGUAUGCCCUCAGCCGCACCUACUGUUGUAUCCAGGAUCCCUCUCAUGCUACCAUUUCUCUUCUCCACCCCUUAAACAGUUAUUGCCACCAACCUUAUCCCAUCCUACAGUGAACUAUAUUUCCUAAUGUGAUUUGCAUCAGAUCCUGGGAGAGACCAUGCCUUCUAUUUGUUAUUAGCACACGUAACUUCUGUCUCUAAGACUGGCUCUGUGGUUCAAAACUGAAGAUUAA